rnacentral:rRNA from 1 species
AUUGAACGCUGGCGGCAGGCCUAACACAUGCAAGUCGAACGAGUGGCGGACGGGUGAGUAAUGUCUGGGAAACUGCCUGAUGGAGGGGGAUAACUACUGGAAACGGUAGCUAAUACCGCAUACCAUCGGAUGUGCACAGAUGGGAUUAGCUAGUAGGUGGGGUAAUGGCUCACCGAGGCGACGAUCCCUAGCUGGUCUGAGCGGAGGAUCAGCGACACUGGAACUGAGACACGGUCCGGACUCCUACGUGAGGCAGCAGAGGGGAAUAUUGCCCAAUGGGCGCAAGCCUGAUGCAGCCAUGCCGCGUGUAUGAAGAAGGCCUUCGGGUUUUAAAGUACUUUAAGAGGGGAGGAGUUACCCGCAGAAGAAGCACCGGCUAACUACGUGCCAGCCGCCGCGGUAAUAC